ACGACACGUAACAUACUGGAUUGGAAAAUGCGCAGACAGGAAUGUGACCUCUGAUCUUCUGUACGAGUUAAACUAUGAAACGCCCAGCUGCAAUAAGUGCGGAUCGAGUUACCGUUACAGUUGCAAAGGUGUAAACUGAGAGAGUUGCUCGCUGGCGGAGAAAAUGAAGGAGCGGCGCAACGCGGAGCGGUGUUUUGCGGCCUCCAGGCAGCAGUCUGUGCUGCCCCCUCGUGUUCGCCCUGCAGAAGACAAGCUCUGUUAUGGUCGACUGCAGAUUUGCAUAAAUGUGUGUAUAUAUGUGA